rnacentral:rRNA from 1 species
UCGCCGAAAGAUCGGCCCGCGUCUGAUUAGCUAGUUGGUGAGGUAACGGCUCACCAAGGCGACGAUCAGUAGCUGGUCUGAGAGGAUGAUCAGCCACAUUGGGACUGAGACACGGCCCAA